rnacentral:rRNA from 1 species
AAAUUGAAGAGUUUGAUCAUGGCUCAGAUUGAACGCUGGCGGCAGGCCUAACACAUGCAAGUCGAACGGUAACAGGAAACAGCUUGCUGUUUCGCUGACGAGUGGCGGACGGGUGAGUAAUGUCUGGGAAAUUGCCUGAUGGAGGGGGAUAACUACUGGAAACGGUAGCUAAUACCGCAUAACGUCGCAAGACCAAAGAGGGGGACC